GAUGAACGCUGGCGGCGUGCCUAACACAUGCAAGUCGAGCGAGGGUUUGCUCAGUAUUGAGUAUUCUAAAACUAGAAUGUUCAAUUCUGAGCAAAACCAAGCGGCGGACGGGUGAGUAACGCGUGGGUAACCUGCCCUAUACACAUGGAUAACAUACUGAAAAGUUUACUAAUACAUGAUAAUAUAUAUUUGCGGCAUCGCAGAUAUAUCAAAGUGUUAGCGGUAUAGGAUGGACCCGCGUCUGAUUAGCUAGUUGGUGAGAUAACUGCCCACCAAGGCGACGAUCAGUAGCCGACCUGAGAGGGUGAUCGGCCACAUUGGAACUGAGACACGGUCCAAACUCCUACGGGAGGCAGCAGUGGGGAAUAUUGCACAAUAGGCGAAAGCCUGAUGCAGCAACGCCGCGUGAACGAUGAAGGUCUUCGGAUCGUAAAGUUCUGUUGCAGGGGAAGAUAAUGACGGUACCCUGU
rnacentral:rRNA from 1 species